CGAUACGAGUUUGAUCCUGGCUCAGAACGAACGCUGGCGGCAGGCCUAACACAUGCAAGUCGAGCGCCCGCAAGGGAGCGGCGGACGGGUGAGUAACGCGUGGGAACGUACCCUUUGCUACGGAAUAGCCUCGGGAAACUGGGAGUAAUACCGUAUGUGCCCUUCGGGGAAAGAUUAUCGGCAAAGGAUCGGCCGCGUUGGAUUAGGUAGUUGUGGGGUAAUGGCCUACCAAGCCGACGAUCCAUAGCUGGUUUGAGAGGAUGAUCAGCCACACUGGGACUGAGACACGGCCCAGACUCCUACGGGAGGCAGCAGUGGGGAAUCUUAGACAAUGGGCGCAAGCCUGAUCUAGCCAUGCCGCGUGAGCGAUGAAGGCCUUAGGGUUGUAAAGCUCUUUUCAGUGGGGAAGAUAAUGACUGUACCCACAGAAGAAGCCCCGGCUAACUCCGUG
rnacentral:rRNA from 1 species